rnacentral:misc_RNA from 1 species
UUCCAUCGCGUUUUUUUACUCUGCACACAAACGUACGCACACACGCGCCGCUCUCCCUUCGCCCCCUCCACCCACUUACCCCCCCCCUACUCCCUCCCUCCCAAGUCUCCUACCUACCUAGAGGGGCUUUCGAAAGUGUCACUCUACACCCACACGUGUUUCCUUGGCAAUCUCACGUGCGCAAAAUCGUCCACCCUAACACUCUCUCGCUCGGACGAGAGAGAUUUGGUUACGGCAGGGUGCUCAUUACUUGGGUUUCUCUGAAAGGUGAAGGCAUGUGAUGUUUGGGGUUUGAGCUGCGCCGCCGUUUGUUGCCCCCGUGUGCAUGUCUACUUUCAUGUGUGCCUGUGUCUUUUUCGUGAAGCGUUCAUCAGCAGUUGUACCGUAUCAUGUUCUCUGUUUCCGAGCACCGGCUGCCAUGCGACGCCCUGUACUCGCGCAUUAGCGCCAGUCGCUCCAAACCCCUUGUGGGUUUCGGCGGCCGCGACGCCUCUAUCCACGUCUACCCAUUCAUGGGAUAUACGCGGACUGCCUGGCUGCAGGGUCUAUCUGAGCCUAUCACAGCCCUCGGCUUUGACCCGGACCAGACGUCCGUGGUGGGCGGAAGCGACGCCGGCAAGCUGCAAAUGUGGGACAUCGGCUCUGAGGAGGUGGUGCGUGUCUUCACGCGCGGCCACGCCUCCACCGUGACCGACAUCGAUGUCUUCCGCAGCGGGCAGUUCUUUGCGACCGUUUCAACGGAUAGGAUACUGCGCAUCUGGGAUGUGCGAAAGUCGUCUGGCCGGCAGUCCUACAAGGAUGCCACCGCUCCAUUAUGUGCCGUGCAAUUCUCGCCGAACGGCCGGUGGGUGGCCACCGGGUGUGCGCGCGGUAUUGUGCGACUCUACGACCUCGUCGCUGGUAAGAUUGUCCACAAGUUCGAACUGCACACCGGCGCCAUCACGAGUCUCCACUUCCACCCGGACUUGUACUAUUUAGUGGUGGGCAGCGGUGACGGUACGGUGUCGGUGUGGGAUCUAGACUCCUUCGAGACGCGGUUCCACAGCAGCAGCCAGCACACACCCAUCGAUGCCGUCCACUUCAGCGGCACGCGCCUCCUCGCUACAUCGGAUCACAACCUGCGUAUCUUCGAUACGUCGAACCUUAGUGACCGCACGGCAGUGUCGCUGGAGGCGCCGUGGAUUAUGAUGGGUGACGUAGCCUACGCAAGCGCCACGGACGAAGCCUGGUUCGUGGAAACGGCCGGAGCGACGGCAAUGAAGUGCAAGUUGUCCUUGCGCGACAUCCGCCGUCCCGGCGAAGAGGCGCCUCGCGCGGCAGCGGCGCCACCCGCAUCUGCUCUAUUGCCUGCCUCGCCCUCCCAGCGAGUCCCGGUGGCGACGCUGAACAGCAACAGUUCGAUCUUCGCGGAUGCGCGAAAGAAACCUGCAAAUGGGUCUCGGCUCAGCCCAAUGGACUCACCGGCGAAAACAACGGAAAAUGACAUGGCGGAAAAGGAGUUGCGCGCGGAGACGUCGGCACCGACGGCUUCGACCCUGCCACGGCCAGCAUUCAGUAGCGGUGGACCAUCUUUCCCACCGAGAUCCGCCCCGCCGUCGAGUGCAGGCGAUUCAGAGCUACAGAUGGUACAGCAGCUGCGUCACGAGCACGGCACUGCCUCUACCACGCUGCAGAGGCGGCUCAACACUCUGCGCACUGUGCGCACGCUCUGGAUGCAGAACCAGCCUGAGGCAAUGGCGCAUGUGAGGCGGCUCUACGACGAGGGGCAGGAGUUUGGCCCGCUCUUCGAUCUUCUAACCGUGCUGCAGCAGCCUCGCAUGAAGGAGAAGUUGCUCACAGAGUCCAUCGCUACUUUUUUGGACCUCGUCGAGAUCGCUCUCAAGACGGACUACGAGCCGCUGAUCUUGUUAGGACUGCGCACGCUUCGCAGCAUUUCCACGAAGUUCCGCGCAAGGAUGGAGGAGGCACAGCGGCGGGCGCGCGCGUCGCAGAGCACAGGCUACAACGAUCCGCUCGGCAUGAGUCAGCAUCAGCGCAUAACACAGAAGUUGCAUAAUUGCUGCCCGGUCGUCUUUGCGCUAGCGGAGCGCUGCGAUGGCGUCGGAGAGGAGGCUAGGGCAGUCCUGCCAGACAUGCCGCCGCCGCCGCGCACUCAAUAGACGUGUCCGACUGGUUGUCCUGGGCAGGGGGUACCUUCUAGCGGAAGAGCACGGAGCAGUACCGAUACCGCCACCAGCAGGCAGUCGCUGUGCCGCUGCCGCUCGUCUGCUUCUUCUUUUUUUUUGUCUCCUCCAUUGGUGUACAUUUGUGAGACGUUUUUUUUUCUGACUUCACGUGCGCUUGGUUGCUUCUUUUUGGAUGGAGUUGGAUGACUGCUGCUCAGCGAUGUAUCUCCCUGCACUUUGAUUUAUCGUGUCGCUCUAGGUGAUGGUGUGUACAGCGGUGCAAUUCCCUAGUUCCGACCCUCGGUCCCAUGCUAUUGUUCCUCUCCCUUGUUUCUCCACCACAGAAGCGCUGUAUUAUGUCCUCCUCGUAUUUAUUUCUGUGGGUGUGGGUGGGUGGGUGCAGUCGUCCGUGCUCAGUGCACCUCUCUUCACGUCUCAUUCCUUUCUUUAGAUCUCUUUGCUGAUUUGCGCACACGGGUAGGUGGGUGUGUCCGCUCGUCUUUUGUUUUGGUGCCGUGCUGAUGCCUUUCUCUUUCACUUCGCCGGUGUGUCGUUCCCCCCCCCUCCUCCUCCUUCGACCACGUCCUGUUCUCGUUCUCUCCUUUUUCACAUAUAUAUAUAUAUAUGUAUUGGUUAGAGCACACACACACACCACACGUGCGCGCCCCCCUCAUCCCCACCUCUCACCCCGACCUCACUCCUGCCUCUUUGUCUGGGAGCUGCCAUGAUGGCCCCAUCCCCCACUUCUCUUUUGUUCGCCGUAGCGGAGAUUUGGAUGUCGGCUUGCCAAGUACCGGAACGCAACGG